CGAAGCCACAGCAAAUUUGUAGCCCGUCUCCAUAUAGUUGUUUACUCAACGAUUGCAUUUUGUAACAAAACUAUUUCCCAUAUAAUAUGGCAGUGUCGGGAGAUGAAGUGAAACUCUUAGGAACGUGGGCAAGUCCCUACGCGAUUAGAGUUAAAAUUGCUUUAGGACUCAAGGGGGUGAGCUACGAGUAUCUGGAACAACAGCUUCGGGAAAAUAAGAGUGAGCUCCUCCUCAAAUCAAACCCUGUGUACAAGAAGGUGCCGGUUUUGAUCCACAAGGAUCAGCCCAUUUGCGAGUCCGCGAUCAUCGUCCAAUACAUCGACGAAGUUUGGGCCGGAGUUGGGCCUGCGAUCCUUCCCUCGGAUCCAUACGAACGUGCCAUCGCGCGCUUUUGGGCUGUCUAUAUUGACGACAAGUGGUUUCCUGCUACAAUAAAGAUUAUAAAAGUCAAAGAUGAAAAAGAGAAAGCAGAAGCUAUAGAGCAAUCCUUUGCAGGACUCAGUUUACUAGAAGAGGCUUAUAAAAAAAGCUUCAAAGGGAAGCCCUUCUUCGGUGGAGACAAUAUUGGCUAUCUCGACAUCGCUUUCGGAAGCUUUCUGGGCUGGGUGAGGGCGAUAGAAAAGAUAUCAGAUAUUAAACUCAUUGACGAGGCGAAGUUCCCUCUCUUAGCAAAAUGGGCAGAGCGCUUCGGCUCCGUUACGACCGUGAAGGAGAAUAUUCCGAAGACUGACAAGGUGGUUGAGUAUUAUUCGAAGGUGCUUAAAGCUUUAUGGAACGCCUAGUGCCCCAAAACAGCUAAUUUAGUAUCAAAUACUACAGUAUGAAAGUUUGUCGCAAAUAGAAGAAAGUGGUGUACGUUUAAUAUAAUUAAGUUUGUCGCAAAUAGAAGAAAGUGGUGUACGUUUAAUAUAAUUAAUGAAUAAACGAGCUAGUCUCAUGAUCAGCUUCAGAGUAGUGAAGGAUCAAGGUAUUUUAGAUUUGAGUCGAAGUGAAAAACACUCGGCUCGAUCCGAUCCCAUCUUUUUCCUUAUAUGUGAUCUUUGUUUAAUUUCUAAUUCGAAACAAG